CAUUAUAUAGUUAUACAAGAAAUAUACAAAAAAUGCUAAUGAUAAUUUUUUAUUCACUGAUGAACAUUGCAAAGAUAAAUUCCCAAAUAAUUCAAUAUUCAAAUGGCAAUGAAUCAGAUAUAAAAUAUGGAAGAAAUUAUUUGAAAAAAUUAGCAUUAAAUUUAAUGGCAGAUCAUCGAAGAUCAAGAGCUGAAAUGAAAUAUCUUUCAAGACAACUUAAACUAUUGCAAAAAUUUCACCAAUAGAAGAAGAAGAAACUGGACCUUCUGGAUUGCAAUUGGCAGAACAUUCACAGAGAUUUAGGGAUUGUGAAAAGAAAAAACCAAACUAACAAAAUGUUGUUGCAUAAAAUGUGAGAAAAAUAUAUGUUUAGAACAUAUUUUCCCAAUAUGUAAAGAUUGUAUAUUUUUCUUAAAAAAAAAUAAUUCUAGUUUUAAAAAAAUGCACAGUCU
rnacentral:lncRNA from 1 species